CCUACGGGUGGCUGCAGUGGGGAAUAUUGGACAAUGGGGGGAACCCUGAUCCAGCCAUGCCGCGUGUGUGAAGAAGGCCCUCGGGUUGUAAAGCACUUUCAGUGAGGAAGAACGCCUGGUGGUUAAUACCCAUCAGGAAAGACAUCACUCACAGAAGAAGCACCGGCUAACUCCGUGCCAGCAGCCGCGGUAAUACGGAGGGUGCGAGCGUUAAUCGGAAUUACUGGGCGUAAAGCGCGCGUAGGUGGCUUGAUAAGCCGGUUGUGAAAGCCCCGGGCUCAACCUGGGAACGGCAUCCGGAACUGUCAAGCUAGAGUGCAGGAGAGGAAGGUAGAAUUCCCGGUGUAGCGGUGAAAUGCGUAGAGAUCGGGAGGAAUACCAGUGGCGAAGGCGGCCUUCUGGACUGACACUGACCCUGAGGUGCGAAAGCGUGGGUAGCAAACAGGAUUAGAUACCCGGGUAGUC
rnacentral:rRNA from 1 species